rnacentral:rRNA from 1 species
CAGUAGCCGCGGUAAUACAGAGGGUGCAAGCGUUAAUCGGAAUUACUGGGCGUAAAGCGCGCGUAGGUGGUUCGCCAAGUUGGAUGUGAAAUCCCCGGGCUCAACCUGGGAACUGCAUCCAAAACUGGCGAGCUAGAGUAUGGUAGAGGGUGGUGGAAUUUCCUGUGUAGCGGUGAAAUGCGUAGAUAUAGGAAGGAACAUCAGUGGCGAAGGCGACCACCUGGACUGAUACUGACACUGAGGUGCGAAAGCGUGGGGAGCAAACAGGAUUAGAGACCCCAGUAGUCCCUGUCUCUUAUAA